rnacentral:rRNA from 1 species
UACGUAGGGCGCGAGCGUUGUCCGGAUUUAUUGGGCGUAAAGGGCUUGUAGGCGGCCUGCUAAGUCGGACGUGAAAUCCCUCGGCUCAACCGAGGAACUGCGUCCGAUACUGGUGGGCUUGAAUCCGGGAGAGGGAUGUGGAAUUCCAGGUGUAGCGGUGAAAUGCGUAGAUAUCUGGAGGAACACCGGUGGCGAAGGCGGCAUCCUGGACCGGUAUUGACGCUGAGGCGCGAAAGCGUGGGGAGCGAACAGG